CCUCUGUGUGGGUCGUGGCUGACAUUGACCGGGCUGCGGCAGACAGUGAUGCGUGGGGUAUCCUAGACAACAGCAUCAGUAAUAUGGGUCCUGGUGGACAGUGUCACAACAUCACCUUCAUCUGUACUAAGACAGACAACAUCAACACAGAAGAUUAUAUGCUUGAAUUGAACGAUGAAGACCUUCACAUAGAGGACUCUAACUAUUCAGAGGAGCAGAAACGUGCAUGCAUAUUGCACUGAAAUCAACAUGCCAAGAUGGAAAUUCAAGAGAAUUACAGCAACCCG